AUUGAACGCUGGCGGCAUGCCUUACACAUGCAAGUCGAACGGUAACAGGUCUUCGGAUGCUGACGAGUGGCGAACGGGUGAGUAAUACAUCGGAACGUGCCUAGUAGUGGGGGAUAACUACUCGAAAGAGUGGCUAAUACCGCAUGAGAUCUACGGAUGAAAGCAGGGGAUCGCAAGACCUUGUGCUACUAGAGCGGCCGAUGGGAGAUUAGGUAGUUGGUGGGAUAAAAGCUUACCAAGCCGACGAUCUGUAGCUGGUCUGAGAGGACGAUCAGCCACACUGGGACAGAGACACUGCCCAGACUCCUACGGGAGGCAGCAGUGGGGAAUUUUGGACAAUGGGCGCAAGCCUGAUCCAGCAAUGCCGCGUGCAGGAUGAAGGCCUUCGGGUUGUAAACUGCUUUUGUACGGAACGAAAAGCCCUGGGUUAAUACCCUGGGGUCAUGACGGUACCGUAAGAAUAAGCACCGGCUAACUACGUGCCAGCCGCCGCAGUAAUAC
rnacentral:rRNA from 1 species